rnacentral:rRNA from 1 species
ACUGGAUGAAGAGUUAUGAAAAAGAACCUCUUUUUAAUGUACCCUUCAAAUUUUACCUUUUAGUAAAAAGGCUAAAAUAUUAUUUAAAGACAAGAAGACCCUAUAAAUCUUUACACAUAAAGAUUGAAAAGAUCAAAAAUGUGUUUGGCUGGGGCGGCAAAGAAUAUCUCACUCUUAUAUUAAUCAAGAACUAUUCCCACUACCCAGAAAUUCUGAAAGUAAAACAAGUUACUUUAGGGAUAACAGCGUUAUAUAUUUAGAGAGUCCAAAUUGAUAAGUAUGAUUGCGACCUCGAUGUUGGAUUGGUUACCCUUUGUACUGUGCAAAAGCAGCAAGAGGAGGUCUGUUCGACCUUUUAAAAACCCCAUGAUCGGAGGUUCAAAUCCAAC